rnacentral:rRNA from 1 species
CCUACGGGUGGCAGCAGUGAGGAAUAUUGGUCAAUGGACGAAAGUCUGAACCAGCCAAGUAGCGUGAAGGAUGACUGCCCUAUGGUUUGUAAACUUUUUUUAUAUGGGAAUAAAACGUUCCACGUGUGGGCUUUUGUAUGUACCAUAUGAAUAAGGAUCGGCUAACUCCGUGCCAGCAGCCGCGGUAAUACGGAGGAUCCGAGCGUUAUCCGGAUUUAUUGGGUUUAAAGGGAGCGUAGGUGGAUUGUUAAGUCAGUUGUGAAAGUUUGGGGCUCAACCGUAGAAUUGCAGUUGAAACUGGCAGUCUUGAGUACUGUAGAGGUGGGCGGAAGUCGUGGUGUAGCGGUGAAAUGCGUAGAUAUCACGAAGAACCCCGGUGGCGAAGGCGGCAUGCCGGAUAACGACUGACGCUGAAGCGCGAAAGCGUGGGGAGCGAACAGGAUUAGAUACCCGUGUAGUC